UAUAUAAAAGGCUCCAAGGAGGGCUCAACUGGACAGUACAUUUUUUUAAACCAAAGGUCAUAUUGAUUAUUUCAUGCAGCUUUGAAAUUAGUCCCAAAGACAGUCCCAAGGGAGGAAUUUCAACACAACCUGACUGAUAAGAGCAUCCUGAGAAUAAGACCACAGUAGUAACUGUGAAACCCAUACGUGGCUACCUGUAUGCAUCCUGGUUUUCCUGUUAAAGUUCCAGUCACUUUAUAAUGUUUCACAGAAACUUUUUUUCCCCUGCAAAAAGCGCUAUUUUUUCCAUUUGGCCCAAGCCUUGGAGAGGGCUCCAGGGUGGUUAACAAGCUGCCCAGUGGCUGCAGGGACAGGCUUCAGGGAGAAGCCCUGACCCCAGAGGGGCUCCUCACAGGCCGCUGGGCUCCAGGGGCUCCUAGUGGUGCCUGAGGCUGAGACUUUGGAAGAAACAUUCGCCCAGCCCAGCCUGGGGGCCGAGCAGCCCGCGGAGGUUGGUCAGGCGGUCGCCCAUCUUCUUGAUGAGCUUCACCGGCUCAUCCAGGAAGUGGCUCCAGGAAGUCCAGAGGUGGAGUCUGCGCGGGCAGAGCCCAGGGCCUGCGGACCCACAGGGCCUGGCGCAGGUUCUUCUCCGUCAGCCGGGCGGCUUCCACGGCGUCCUGGGCUUUCCCCACGCUCCUGGGACGGCUUCGGCACGUCCUGUAAGAGGGCGAGGCCACAGCGCUGCUUUUGCCUUUUCCAGUGAGCUCGGGCCCUCCGGCUUCUCCUCGGCCAGUUCGCGAAACGAUGUCUCACGCCCUCGAGAAGCGCAGAGACAGUUGCAGUUCAGCACAUAGAAAAUUAGAAACGCCCGUCUACUCAGGAGUAAAGACUUCAAGAAACACCAGGAAGAGGAAAGACUUAGGACUCACCUGGGAUGACAACACAGCUACAUGAUCAUCCUCACCCCUCUGGUUACUAAUAAAAAGACAUUUUAAUCAAAGAAGACAAUACACCUGGCAAAGAACACAGGAAUGUUCAACAUCAUGAAUCACUAGAGAAAUGCAUCAGACCACAGUGAGUCCCACAGAGAGCCCUGCACUCUACCCCAGAAGGCCUUGGACAAUGAUGCAAAAUGGGCCAGAACUGGAGUGAAAACUAUUCUCUGCCAUGAUACUACCCCCAGUGAGGUAUACUAAGUUUGGAACACCCACAAAACCUGUUCCUGUGUCCUGUCCUAGCCAGUUGAUGGAAGAGAAUGACAAAACCCACUUGCUCAGGGAAUUCAUGCUUUUCUACAGGGGAUACGAGAGCACAAAAGGCUACCUACCCUGAUCACACUUAGAUGACUGAGUCCCAGUAUGGGGAUCUGCCACUUGGAAAAGUGUGACUGUCUUCUUAAGGCCUCUCUCCUGUGUGGACUCUCUCAUGCUCUGCAAGCCUAUACAUCCAGGGGUAGGCUUUCCCGCACUUAUAGAGACUUUUACCAUUGUGAAACACUGCUGUGCAGUCAGCAUCCUUUUGUGGAGUGACCUGGUGCUGGAGAAGGCUAGAGCUACCAGGGAAAUCCAUCCCAGCCUCCUGGCAUGUGAAGGAGUUCUUGGAUGCAUGGACUAUGU